GUGGGGAAUAUUGCGCAAUGGGGGAAACCCUGACGCAGCAACGCCGCGUGAGUGAUGAAGGCCUUUGGGUCGUAAAGCUCUGUCAGGUGGGAAGAGAAUGGACGGUACCACCAAAGGAAGCACCGGCUAACUCCGUGCCAGCAGCCGCGGUAAUACGGAGGGUGCUAGCGUUGUUCGGAAUUACUGGGCGUAAAGUGCGUGUAGGCGGUCUAUUAAGUCAGAUGUGAAAUCCCUAAGCUCAACUAAGGAAUUGCAUCUGAAACUAAUGGACUUGAGUACGGGAGAGGAGAGCGGAAUUCCCGGUGUAGAGGUGAAAUUCGUAGAUAUCGGGAAGAACAUCGGUGGCGAAGGCGGCUCUCUGGACCGAUACUGACGCUGAGACGCGAAAGCGUGGGGAGCAAACAGGAUUAGAAACCCUUGUAGUCC
rnacentral:rRNA from 1 species